GACGAGGGAUCCUAGCGUUGUUCGGAAUCAUUGGGCGUAAAGCGGGUGUAGGUGGCUUGGUAAGUCAGGUGUGAAAGCCCAGGGCUUAACCCUGGAAGUGCAUUUGAAACUGCCGAGCUUGAGUGUGGGAGAGGAUAGUGGAAUUCCUGGUGUAGUGGUGAAAUACGUAGAUAUCAGGAGGAACAUCGGUGGCGAAGGCGGCUAUCUGGCCCAACACUGACACUCAGACCCGAAAGCGUGGGGAGCAAACAGG
rnacentral:rRNA from 1 species